GCGGGGACUAGCAGUUCCAUAGCGUUUCUGUAUGGUGAGCGCUAUGGGGAGCAUGAGAGGGAGCGGGCAGCGGCGAGGAAAGUUUCACCGGGACUAAAUGCAUGUGCUUCAGCCAGCUCCCCCUCACACGGCGCAGAGUUCCCGCAGUCCCCGUCCUAUGUGGAACAGGCACUCCCACAGCAGCUCGAUUCACUCCUUGCUCUGAUCGCAAGUUGGUUCCCCAUGGAGGCGUCCGCAGCCGGCUCGGGCAAAGCCACCUCUGGCUCCAGGAGUGCUGGCAAAGGGAGCUGCGAUGGAGGAGUCGCCAGCCCCAGCUCGGGUUGCCUUGGGCUACCAGUAUGUGGCCACAACUCGCCCACCUGUCUGGAACCGCAGUCUGAGUACAAGUUGGAGGACUUUGAUACUGUAGCUACUGUGGG